rnacentral:rRNA from 1 species
UCGGGAAUCUUGCACAAUGGGCGAAAGCCUGAUGCAGCAACGCCGUGUGGGCGAGGAAGGUCUUCGGAUCGUAAAGCCCUGUUGUUGGGGACGAAGGGCGAAGGGUUAAUAGCCCCUAGCCUGACGGUACCCUUCGAGGAAGCCCCGGCUAACUACGUGCCAGCAGCCGCGGUAAUACGUAGGGGGCGAGCGUUGUCCGGAAUUAUUGGGCGUAAAGAGCGUGUAGGCGGCCCGGUAAGUCUGCCGUGAAAACCUGGGGCUCAACCCCGGGCGUGCGGUGGAUACUGCUGGGCUAGAGGAUGGUAGAGGCGAGUGGAAUUCCCGGUGUAGCGGUGAAAUGCGCAGAGAUCGGGAGGAACACCAGUAGCGAAGGCGGCUCGCUGGGCCAUUCCUGACGCUGAGACGCGAAAGCUAGGGGAGCGAACAGGAUUAGAUACCCCCGUAGUCC